UCAGUUAUGGCGCAGCGGUUAUUGUGUUAGCCUUGGACGGCAGAGGUCAUGGGUUCGACUCCUGAUUGGG